UACGUAGGGGGCAAGCGUUGUCCGGAUUUAUUGGGUGUAAAGAGCGUGUAGGCGGCCAUACAGGUCAGCUGUGAAAACUCGAGGCUCAACCUCGAGACGUCGGUUGAAACCGUAUGGCUAGAGUCCGGAAGAGGAGAGUGGAAUUCCCGGUGUAGCGGUGAAAUGCGCAGAUAUCGGGAAGAACACCCGUGGCGAAGGCGGCUCUCUGGGACGGUACUGACGCUGAGGAGCGAAAGCCAGGGGAGCAAACGGG
rnacentral:rRNA from 1 species